ACGAACGCUGGCGGCAUGCCUAACACAUGCAAGUCGCACGAGACCUUCGGGUCUAGUGGCGCACGGGUGCGUAACGCGUGGGAACCUGCCCUUAGGUUCGGAAUAACUCCCCGAAAGGGGUGCUAAUACCGGAUAAUGUCUUCGGACCAAAGAUUUAUCGCCUUUGGAUGGGCCCGCGUUGGAUUAGCUAGUUGGUAGGGUAAAAGCCUACCAAGGCGACGAUCCAUAGCUGGUCUGAGAGGAUGAUCAGCCACACUGGGACUGAGACACGGCCCAGACUCCUACGGGAGGCAGCAGUGAGGAAUAUUGGACAAUGGGCGAAAGCCUGAUCCAGCAAUGCCGCGUGAGUGAUGAAGGCCUUAGGGUUGUAAAGCUCUUUUACCCGGGAUGAUAAUGACAGUACCGGGAGAAUAAGCUCCGGCUAACUCCGUG
rnacentral:rRNA from 1 species